rnacentral:lncRNA from 1 species
UGGAACAGACUGUGACUUCUGAAGCAAUAGCUGCCUAAAAUGAAGGUGCAGGCUCCAGAAUUCUAGUCAUUUGUCACAGAAAGAUUGAAGAGCUUGACAGAAUUAUUUGUUAAAGAGAAUCGUGAAUUCAGAAUAGCAGAAGGAGCAGUGAGAGAUUUAUUAAAUGGAAUAAGACCUCAAGAUGUGGACUCUGCUACCAUUGUUACCCUUAUUGAAAUGCAGUAGAUGUUUCCGUCAGCUGGUAUUUGGAUGAUGGACAGCAGAAAAGCACAGAACAAUUACUGCCAGGCUUCGUGAAGACAAUUUUUAAAUUACUACACUCUGGACUGAUGUUGUCACUGAUGGAAGACAUGCUGAGGACAAAUUCACAACUGACUAGGAGAUGCUGAACACAAAGCUCUCUAGCAAACAAUUCUAUGUCUUUGGGUUUUGAUGGUACUUUAUCUAAUUUAAUGGUUAUGGAGAUUUUUUAAAAUAAGAAAAGUCUGUUGGACAUCAACAGAGUACAAUACAAUUGUUUUUGAAUUUUAAGAUAUGUCAGGUUUUGUGGGAGAACUGUAGACAAACCUGGUGACCACGGUCCUGAGAAGCAACUGCAGAGCCUGCAAAAGGCCUGGCUGGGCUAUUAGGAGAAAGCAUUUGGGUGGAACUAAAAAAGCUCUUGUCAGUAAACAUGUAAAUCAUUUGAUUCACCUUAUCUAUGAUCUUCAUGUGGCUCCCUAUGUAGGUAUAACAGCCAAUGCAAGUUUAGAAGAAUUUAACAAAGUCAGUAAAAAUGUCGAAGGUUUUUCACCAAAGCCAAUGACUCUUUUGGCCUCAUUAUUCAAAGUACAGAAUGAUGUCACAAAAUUGGAUUGGAGGUUGACGAUUUCAAAAGAAGAGAAAAACCUUGGCUUGUUUAUAGUUAAAAAUAAAAAAGACUGAAUUAAAGCAAUAGAUAGUUCAGAGCCACUGAAACCCUACCAAGACUUUCUCAGGGACUUUAGGGAACUUGCCGUGACUUCUCACAUACGUGAACUACUGAAGAGCCAAGGAGAGCACCAUCCCCUAAAGGAAAGGCAGCUGUGGUCCCUUCCUACAGUUCCUGUUCAGUGGGCAUGACACCAGAAAAGGGGACAUUUCUUGGGGGAAAAGAAACCAGGGCUCUAUUACAACAACUACAAGAACGGUGGAGAAAAAGUGGUUACCAAGGGGGAAAAGAUAAACUUCUAAGUUAUCU